rnacentral:rRNA from 1 species
GUUGGUGAGGUAAUGGCUCACCAAGGCGACGACGGGUAGCCGGCCUGAGAGGGUGACCGGCCACACUGGGACUGAGACACGGCCCAGACUCCUACGGGAGGCAGCAGUGGGGAAUAUUGCACAAUGGGCGCAAGCCUGAUGCAGCGACGCCGCGUGAGGGAUGACGGCCUUCGGGUUGUAAACCUCUUUCAGUAGGGAAGAAGCGAAAGUGACGGUACCUGCAGAAGAAGCACCGGCUAACUACGUGCCAGCAGCCGCGGUAAUACGUAGGGUGCGAGCGUUAUCCGGAAUUAUUGGGCGUAAAGAGCUCGUAGGCGGUUUGUCGCGUCUGUCGUGAAAGUCCGGGGCUUAACCCCGGAUCUGCGGUGGGUACGGGCAGACUAGAGUGCAGUAGGGGAGACUGGAAUUCCUGGUGUAGCGGUGGAAUGCGCAGAUAUCAGGAGGAACACCGAUGGCGAAGGCAGGUCUCUGGGCUGUAACUGACGCUGAGGAGCGAAAGCAUGGGGAGCGAACAGGAUUAGAUACCCUGGUAGUCCAUGCCGUAAACGUUG